UACGGGAGGCAGCAGUGGGGAAUAUUGGACAAUGGGCGCAAGCCUGAUCCAGCAAUGCCGCGUGUGUGAAGAAGGCCUUCGGGUUGUAAAGCACUUUUAUCAGGAGCGAAAUACUACGGGUUAAUACCUCGUGGGGCUGACGGUACCUGAGGAAUAAGCACCGGCUAACUUCGUGCCAGCAGCCGCGG
rnacentral:rRNA from 1 species